AGUGAACGCUGGCGGCGUGCUUAACACAUGCAAGCCGAACGAGAACGGGUUAUAGCUUGCUAUAAUUGUCAGCUAAGUGGCGCACGGGUGAGUAAUGUAUAGGUAAUAUGCCUCUUACUAAGGGAUAACAAAUGGAAACGUUUGCUAAUACCUUAUACUCCUUAUUAACAUAAGUUAAUAAGGGAAAGAUUUAUUGGUAAGAGAUUAGCCUGUAUUGUAUCAGUUAGUUGGUGGGGUAAUGGCUUACCAAGACUAUGACACAUAACUGGUUUGAGAGGAUGAUCAGUCACACUGGAACUGAGACACGGUCCAGACUCCUACGGGAGGCAGCAGUGGGGAAUAUUGCACAAUGGACGAAAGUCUGAUGCAGCAACGCCGCGUGGAGGAUGACACAUUUCGGUGCGUAAACUCCUUUUAUAUGAGAAGAUAAUGACGGUAUUGUAUGAAUAAGCACCGGCUAACUCCGUGCCAGCCGCCGCCGUAA
rnacentral:rRNA from 1 species